rnacentral:rRNA from 1 species
UACGUAGGGUGCAAGCGUUGUCCGGAUUUAUUGGGCGUAAAGAGCUCGUAGGCGGUCUGUCGCGUCGGAUGUGAAAACCCAGGGCUCAACCCUGGGCCUGCAUUCGAUACGGGCAGACUAGAGUACGGCAGGGGAGACUGGAAUUCCUGGUGUAGCGGUGAAAUGCGCAGAUAUCAGGAAGAACACCCGUGGCGAAGGCGGCUCUCUGGGACGGUACUGACGCUGAGACGCGAAAGCGUGGGGAGCGAACAGG